rnacentral:rRNA from 1 species
UACGAAGGGGGCGAGCGUUGUUCGGAAUUACCGGGCGUAAAGGGCGCGCAGGCGGCUCUGAAAGUCAGAUGUGAAAGCCCCGGGCUUAACCUGGGAACUGCAUUUGAUACUCUGGAGCUUGAGUACGGGAGAGGAUAGUGGAAUUCCCAGUGUAGAGGUGAAAUUCGUAGAUAUUGGGAAGAACACCGGUGGCGAAGGCGGCCUGCUGGGCAGUGGCUGACGCUGAGGCGCGACGCGUGGGGAGCAAACAGGAUUAGAGUAC